AUACGUAGGGGGCGAGCGUUGUCCGGAAUGAUUGGGCGUAAAGGGCGCGUAGGCGGCCCGGUAAGUCUGGAGUGAAAGUCCUGUUUUUAAGAUGGGAAUUGCUUUGGAUACUGUCGGGCUUGAGUGCAGGAGAGGUAAGUGGAAUUCCCAGUGUAGCGGUGAAAUGCGUAGAGAUUGGGAGGAACACCAGUGGCGAAGGCGACUUACUGGACUGUAACUGACGCUGAGGCGCGAAAGUGUGGGGAGCAAACAGGACUAGAUACCCUGGUAGUCCACACUGUAAACGAUGAAUGCUAGGUGUAGGGGGUAUCGACCCCUUCUGUGCCGCAGUCAACACAAUAAGCAUUCCGCCUGGGGAGUACGGCCGCAAGGUUGAAACUCAAAUGAAUUGACGGGG
rnacentral:rRNA from 1 species